GCAGAUAGAGUGAGCUUUUACCCUUGCACGUUAUAGUUACUCAUUGUCUCCUAUUCCCAACAUUGUUAAUAUUCUUUUCUUUUCCUUUUGUUUAUCUGUUCUGCCGGAGGGUUAAUAUUUCAUGGAGUUGAAACUUGGAUUAUUGCAUUGAUCUUAUUAGGCAAAAAAAUGCUGCAUUUCCUUUAUUUAGCAUUCAGGAGCAAGAUCUUUGCACCUCUGCCUACUCUUCUCUUUCCUACUCUAUGCACAGCAGAGCCAAACCUAGAACAGCAGCCAAAGCUUCGGAUGGUCUGGAAUGUGGAUUAAGAGCUGUCUGCAUAGCUCAGAACCGGCCCAGAAGGAGGAAGAGAAAUAAUUCCUAAUGUUGUCAAGUCCAACUCUGAAAUGUCCAAAGCACUAUGGAGCCUCUGGAUGGAUGGAAGUGACAAAGUCCCUUCCUCAUUGUGAUUAUUGACAAACAACGUUUGCCUGUUUCAUCACCUUCUGCAGGUACCAAGUCUCCCUGGUAGAAAGCCAAGUAGGAGAUGAAAGUAAGCCUGAAAAAUCAAGGAGAAGCUGGAAUUUGACAGUUAAAAAAUGAAAACAUGUUGAAACCUACCACGGCAUUAUCUGGAGUCCUCACUUCCUAAAAUGCAGCACCCCUGAUGGAACAAGUUGCACUCCAACCUAGCUUCUAUUGGUGCCUAAGCUACUUAUGAACUGUGACCACAUUUGGAAGAUGCAUGUAAUACUUUUUCAGUAGCCUAAAAUCAAAUGGCCCAUUAGGCUGCAUACUGGUGACCUUCAGAAAUAUUCAAUAGAGACGACCUUAGAGAGUGGAGGAAUUUAAUAGUGUGAUGCUUUCCACUAGGCAAAUAGACAUUGAAUAGAAGAAAGAUUUGCUUUAUGGUGGAAGGAAAAUUUAUCUGAUAGGCAAUUUCAGCAAUGUGGAAGCAUAGCCAGGAUUUCUCCAUAGUGACUGGCUCUCCACAAACUUACACAGCUGAUUAAGUUUGCCAUUGAGACCCGCAGACCCAUCCUCUGCUGCAUUCCUUACUUCCAGGAGCUCUGCAUUUCAGUCUACAGGGCACUGUCCUUGGAUACAUAUCUGUCAAAAGCUGCUCUUUUCUCUGAUGUGACUCUUCUAUGAUUCACUCCAGCCAGUUGCUCCCAUCACCUUUCUCCAUCUUUCACUCCAAAUGCAACCAACUGGCCAAGUAUUAUUGUUUUCUAGCUUUAUUCCCCUGUGCUUAGAGAUCAUACUUUUUAGGAUGUUGAUACUUUGAAUUUUGUUGAAAAUUGCUUUAUAUCCCAGCAGCAUAUAAUCAAUUUUGACAAAUGUUCCAUGUGGACUUAAAAAGAAUGUGCAUUCUGCAGCUGCUGGAUACAGUGCUGUGCUAAAAAUCCCCAACUCUAACUAUGGAUUUGUCUAUUUCUCCUUUCAUUUCUGUCAGUGUUUGCUUUAGAUAUUUUGAAGCUAUAUUAUUGGGUACAUAAAAAUUUAGAAUUGUUUUAUGGUCCUGUUGGACUGACUCUUCUGUCAUUAUAAAAUAUUUCUCUUUAUCUCUUAUCUACUUUAUGCAAUAACCAUAUACCGACAUCCUUGGUCUUUUAUUUAAGGUAUGCAUGUUGGAUUAUAUCUUAUAAUCCUCUUACUUUUAAUCUUUCUGUAUCUUUAUACUUAAAGUGUGUUUCUUAUAAGCAAUAGUUUUUAAGUCUAAUUUCACAAUCUUUCUCUUUUAAAUGGAAUAAGUCUACAUAUUCAUAUUUAAUGAUAUAUUUGAGUUUAAAUCUGUUAUUCUACAAUUUAUUUUCUAUUAUUAGCCCACCUCUGUUUGUUUCUUUUUAUCCCUUUCUUGCCUUUUUUUGACCAAUCAAGUAUUUUUAUUGAUCUGUUUUAUCCCUCUAUUGGCUUGUUAGUUAUAUGAUCUUUUACUAUUUUUAAAUGUUACCCUCAAAAUCACAGCAUUUAUUCAUGAUUUAGAAUAUAAUAUACAUUAAUAUUUUACCACUGUUUGUAAAAUUCAAGGUCUUUAGAACACUUUAACUCUAUUUAUUCCCUCUGUAUUCUAUUUUAUAAAGUAGGCCUUUGAAAUUA